UUCGCAAUGCCCGAAAGGGUGACGAAGCGACGCCGCGUGCGGGAAGAAGGCCUUCGGGUUGUAAACCGCUGUCGGGAGUUAAGAAAUGCAAGGAUGUUAAUAGCAUCCUUGCUUGACUAAAGCUCCGGAGGAAACCACGGCUAACUCUGUGCCAGCAGCCGCGGUAAUACAGAGGCGGCAAGCGUUGUUCGGAAUUAUUGGGCGUAAAGAGCACGUAGGCGGCUCUGUAAGUCAGCUGUGAAAGCCUUCCGCUCAACGGAAGAACAGCAUCUGAUACUGCGUGGCUUGAGUGCGGGAGGGGAGAGUGGAACUUCUGGUGGAGCGGUGAAAUGCGUAGAUAUCAGAAGGAACGUCGGCGGCGAAAGCGACUCUCUGGCCCGUAACUGACGCUGAGUGUGCGAAAGCUAGGGGAGCAAACGGGAUUAGAUACCCCGGUAGUCCUAGCCGUAAACGAUGGGCACUAAGUAGAGGGGUUUU
rnacentral:rRNA from 1 species